rnacentral:lncRNA from 1 species
CAUCUUCUCCCCCAAGCAAGAAACCUUGGCUUCCCUGUAAUGGUGACAUAAGGGUGUCAGUUCAAAAAACCAAGAAAAACUCAAGGGAAAGGAACCGAAGCAGAAAAACACACAGGAGGUCAUAUUUGCUCAUCUAUUCCAUUUAAUUGCUCCCCCCCUCAGCACCUAUUCCCCAUCUUGUACUUUCUUCUCUUUAGUUUCUUACAUCUCCAGACUCAUCUAUAAAAAACCCUACUGCAUCUUGUAUUCAUGUGGGAUAUUGAGACAACUAUUGUGGUUAAUUUAAACCAAACUGCUAGGGUUUGGCAGCAUUAGUAAAUUCAGAUCUUUGCUAGGUUUGAACUCAUCUAUAAGCAAUUAGUGUGAUUAAUUCAAGCAACUACUAUGGUUGCAGCAACAAACUGUGGUUGUUUUAAGCAAAACUUCUAAAGGAUUGGCAACAUCACUACAGUCCAGAUUUUAAGAAACUACCUUGGGUGUUGUAAGCAAAUAUUUUAGUUAUUUCAAGCAACUGCAAGUAUUUUCUACGAAAAUAUAGUAAAAAGCAAAACAUUCGUACAAAUCCAGAUUUUAAGCAACUACCAUGGUUGUUCUAUGCAAUUACUAUGGUUAUUUCAAGCAACUGGAAGUGUUUUCCACAAAAAAUGCACAAAACCCUCGUUGAUAGCAACUAAUCUGGUCCUUUUAAGUAAUCAUUGUGGUUAAGCAAACUGAUAGUGUUGGUAAUACAAAGAAAAAUCCCUCAUUUUAAGCAACUACCAUUGUUAUUUUAAACAACUACUAUGGUCAUUUUACGUAAACUGCUAAUGUAGCCAGCAAAAAGGGAAAACCCUGCUUGAUAGCAACUACUGUACUUAUUUUAAGGAACUCAUAUGUUCUGUUUAAGCAAAAAAUACACAGCUACCACGAAGGAGCUCAUAUGAGCUAGUGUAUGCAUGUUACAUGUAUAAAAAAUAAAAACUACAGUAAUGUAGAUUGCAAAAAACUGUACAAAGUUCCAGGUUCUGCUCACUUGCAAGACACUAGUUCUGUUCAAGCAAAAAUUGAAAAAAAAUAUCCUAAAAAAUAAAUUGCAGGGCGGGGGAGGCUGUAUUGAAAAUUACCUUGGAGAAUUGGCUGAAUAUUGUUCCCUUCCUUAGGCAUGUUAGGAACAGAAAAGUGCUUCAAUUUGUACCCUUGAAAAAAUGUUAGAUUGAUCCUACAAAAAAACGUGAUAGACAACAAACACAAAAAAAGCAUGGCAACAAAAAGAAAGGAAACUCAGGGGCUCCCAUGCGUCAACCAAUGAUACGAAUGGAAGCAAGAUUGAACAUAAAAAGGCCAAAAAGAAAAGUAGUUCUGGUGCUCCUAGUACAAAAUAUGUAAAUUGUAUUGAACAUAAGAGACCGUGUCACCCGGGGCUACUUCUACUGCUGCUAUUUUAAAUUUGUUGGAACAUAGAACAAACUACUCUCUCUGUCACUGACUUUGGUGAUUUUCCCAUGCUGAAAACACUUCGAAGAACAUUCUUUCGAUGAAGGUUUGCUUCACCAAUCCUUGAAAGCGCACGAAAAAAUGUUACCAC